rnacentral:rRNA from 1 species
AGAGUUUGAUCAUGGCUCAGGAUGAAUGCUGGCGGCGUGCCUAACACAUGCAAGUCGAGCGGCAGCGCGAGUAGUUUACUACUUGGCGGCGAGCGGCGGACGGCUGAGUAACGCGUGGGAACGUGCCCCAAAGUGAGGGAUAACUGCUCGAAAGAGUAGCUAAUACCGCAUAUGGUCUUCGGAUUAAAGGAUUUAUCCGCUUUGGGAGCGGCCCGCGUUAGAUUAGGUAGUUGGUGGGGUAAUGGCCUACCAAGCCGACGAUCCAUAGCUGGUUUGAGAGGAUGAUCAGCCACACUGGGACUGAGACACGGCCCAGACUCCUACGGGAGGCAGCAGUGGGGA